AUUGAACGCUGGCGGCAGGCCUAACACAUGCAAGUCGAACGAGUGGCGGACGGGUGAGUAAUGUCUGGGAAACUGCCUGAUGGAGGGGGAUAACUACUGGAAACGGUAGCUAAUACCGCAUACCAUCAGAUGUGCCCAGAUGGGAUUAGCUAGUUGGUGGGGUAACGGCUCACCAAGGCGACGAUCCAUAGCUGGUCUGAGGGGAUGACCGGCCCCCCUGGAACUGAGACACGGGCCAGACUCCUACGGGAGGCAGCGGUGGGGAAUAUUGCCCAAUGGGCGAAAGCCUGAUGCGGCCAUGCCGCGUGUAUGAAAAAGGCCUUCGGGUUGUAAAGUACUUUCAGCGGGGAGGCGUUACCCGCAGAAGAAGCACCGGCUAACUCCGUGCCAGCCGCCGCGGUAAUAC
rnacentral:rRNA from 1 species